UUCACCCUGAUCCUCCCAUCAAAAAAGUAAAAGUAAAAAUUUCUUUCUUUAACAUAUUUUAAUUUCUUGUACCCUACUCCAUCCAGCUCCAGCCCCCCUCCGACCAAAACAAAUACUUUCGAAUUGUUAUUUCUUAUCCAAUCCUACUCUGCCCCCGCCCCUCAAUACACAGAAAAAAAAAGAAAUUUGAAAUUUUAUUUUACUUUUUUCAAAAAGAGGAAAUCUCAAUUGGAGAGUUACGCUCAGAGUUGGGUGUGGUUAGGUCGUGGAUUGGAAAUAGGGCGACUUUCAACUAGAAAGUCGAAUCUUGGAUUUUGCGUCGAUUGUGAUUUGUUGGGGUCUUGAUUGGGAAAGCAAUCUCGAUUUAGGUGUUGGAAUCAAAUCUCAAAUUGAUCGAUUAUGUUCAGGUUUGGAUAUCGAGGUUAGGUCUUAGGUUGGAUAUGUUGUCCCAGUUCGAAUGCCGGGUUUUGAUUUAAGUUGACUCCACUAAGUAGAAAAUGUCUCGGAUAUUUCAUUAUCGAUUACCUAGCCCAGGAAAGGAAAAGAAAGAGCAAUAUACUAGAGACACCUUUCUAUUCCUUGUCGCAAUGUUUCUAUCACAUGUUGGCUACUUUUCCCUUGCGAAAUCCUAGCUUGUAGGCGUAAGGAAGAUUGGAAGUCGGGAUUGGAUCCUGGGUCAAAUCUUAGGGUUGGUUAUCGGGGUUGUGUUUUAGUUUGAGUGUCGGGGUCGAGGUCAUGGUCGCGUUGCAGAUCAAAGAGGAGACUUGAUGGUGAAGCAGACAUGUUUUCUGUGUCGGUUUUAAUAAGGGCAUUUUUG